CAUGUGGGAGUAGUCCUUAAGAUGGAUUUCGAAAGAGCCUAUGACAAAGUGAACUGGGAGUUCCUGCUUGAUUGUCAUAUUAAACGUGGCUUUAAUACCAAAUGGUGUGGGUGGGUCUCGCAAAUCCUGAGAAAUGGGACAGUGAGUGUGAAAAUCAAUGAUGAGAUGGGACCAUAUAUUCAGAGUGCCAAGGGGGGUCGACAAGGGGAUCCACAUUCUCCUUUUUUGUUUAACAUGGCAGCUGAGUGUUUGACUAAGAUGGUACUAGCUGCCCAAAAAAUGGUCUCAUCAAUGGGUUAG
rnacentral:rRNA from 1 species